GACGAACGCUGGCGGCGUGCUUAACACAUGCAAGUCGAGCGGAGCGGCGAACGGGUGAGUAACGCGUGAGUAACUGCCCCCCUCUCUGGGAUAACAGUUGGAAACGGCUGCUAAUACCGGAUAGUGGGGGAUGACUCGCGUCCUAUCAGCUUGUUGGUGGGGUAGUGGCCUACCAAGGCGACGACGGGUAGCCGGCCUGAGAGGGCGACCGGCCACAAUGGUCUGAGAGAGGGCGCUAACUCCAAGUGGUGGCAGCAGUGGGGAAUAUUGAACAAUUGGGGAAAGCGUGAUGCAGCAACGCCGCGUGCGGGAUGACGGCCUUCGGGUUGUAAACCGCUUUCAGCCAUUACGCGGUAGUGGCAGAAGAAGCACCGGCUAACUACGUGCCAGCAGCCGCGGUAAUUC
rnacentral:rRNA from 1 species